rnacentral:lncRNA from 1 species
UUUUUUUUCUUUUUGUUUAAAACAAUAAACAGAGGGGAAAGGGGAGGAUUUCUUUGCUAGGUUUUCCUUAAAGCCCUAGCCACCGUAGCCGUCAAAGCUCCGCCGCCGACUCUGAUUCAGGUAAGUUUCUCCUUUUCUUUAUUUUAUUUUUUACAAAAUAAAGAACUAAUCGAAAAAAGAAAACAGUAAAAACAGAAACGAAAAAGAAACUCACUUUCAAAAUCUUUCUUUUCUCUUUUUUCUUUUGUAUUUUCUUUCUCUUUCAAUACAAAAUUUUUCUUUUUUCCAAAUCGGUUUACCAUCCCCCUUUUUUCUACCGAAAACUAAUAAUAAUAAAUAAAUAACUAAAUAAAAAUCCUAUCUCUUGCUUGUUGUGCUAUGGUUCAUGAUUUGUUUGCAGGAAGAACGUGGAAACGGUGUGGGGGUUAUUGCGACGUGGGGUGUGCGCGGCGCUGGAGGUUGCUGCGACGUGGAGAACGUGCACGGCGCAGGGGGAGACUUAGGGUUUCUGGAAACAGAUUAGCAUUAGGUUAAUUGGGUUGGGCUACAUUUGGGCUUGAGUUAAUGAAAUUGGGCCAUGUUGGGCCGAAUGUAUUUAGUUUAUUGGGCUGUGCAAAUAGUUUUGGGCCCCGGGCAAUAAUUGCGUAUUACAACGUGUUGUCUAUAUUAUGCAGUUUCUAUGGAUGGCAUAUGCCG